UGUGUGUGUGUGUGUGUGUGUGUCCGUGUCCAGGCUAGGGCUGCAGAGCGUGCACUGAGUGAACAGUGCAGGUGGACCGUCCUGUCUGUGCCCACCAGGAUGGACACACUCCCCCCCCCCCCCCCCCCACAACACCACCUUGCCCAGUGCCAUCUUUGGGGGUGGAUAUAAAUAUCAUGUGGAUUGACGAUGCCUGCUGUGUGUGUUUCUGUGAGCGUGUGUAUGUCUCUGUGUCUGUGUUGCUGUUAAAGGUAAGGGUCAAUCUAAGUGUUAUCUGCAAUUCUGUGCAGAUUUGUGAUCAUUCAUAAUUUAUUUUAAUAUGUAUUCAUAUAUUUUAAUUGUAUUAUUAAUAUUAUCCCCAUUAUUGUUAUUUAUAUUAUUUUGUUUUAUGUUUGUAAUAAGGCCACCAGAGGGCAGUAAACAUCCAGAAAUGUCCACAAAGUUUUAGUUUUUUUGAACAUUUUCAGCCUCUAAGCAAAUACAACAUAAACUAUUUGAUCAUUUCUUAGGGUCAAAGGUUAUUUAUUAUCUCAUAUUUGCCUAGGGUCCUAUAUUAAUAAAUGAUGUUUUGAUAACUUGCUAUCAUGGUUGAUUCUAACAGUAGUGUAUUGUAGUCCUUUUAUUCUAAAUAUGUUCGAUGGAUGAGAAUUAAGCUGAAAACAGUAGCAGCAAAAGUCUUGGGUAAAUUUGGAAAAUGUAAUUGUUUUAGUUAACACAAUGUCCUGUUUCUUUAUCUGCAGAGAGUCAGAGUGCAGGAGUCAGAGAGAGGAGGCGGUGCGGAGCUAAUGCGUCCUCAUUAAUCUCUUAAUCCUCAUUUCCUCUCCGACCCGCUGCCCGUGAACUCGUCUGGCCCCACGAGAGUGAAAACUGACUAGAAGACGGGAAAAGAGGAACAUUUCCAGGUCUUCUUACCCUUCUGGAGCAAAGAGAGCCGGUGAAUCCGCUCCUGCAGGCGCAGACGUUUGGCCGGACGCAGCGACUGCCGUAGAGACAUUUGGAUUCACAGAUGGCUGAAGAAAAACACGGAAAACAAAAAAGAAUCUGAGUAUAAAAUAAUUGUAUCUUGACAAAUAUCUCACUGGGAAUCAGAGACAAGUUUAUCAUGGCAUAUGUUCACUAGAAACUGAGUUAUAUUAAGUUGUUUGUAGGAAACUCACGGAUCUGGCACAGCAUGCCCUGCCACCCUCGGGUGCAGUGGCAGGUGUUUGAGCCUACACACUCCCCCCCGUUCAGACACCUCUGCAGACAGCUGGCUGCAGGGAGACACGAGACACACGCAUUAGACAACGGACAUGCAGGAGAGGGAGGAGGAGCUGCAGAUGAAUCAGGUGUGCAGACGUGAGUGACAGGUGUGACACUGGUGAAGGAGGAGGGGUCACAGCACACAGCUUCAGCAGGAUCCGUGAGGACACUCGCAGACAUUCGGACGGACACACACUCCUCCGUUGAGACACAUGGGAGAGCAGAGAGCUGCAGAGAGAGAGACAAGAGUCUGAUCCGGUGUAGCCUGGUUUGCAGCGGCAGGUGUUCGGAGCAGCACACUCCAUGUUCCUACCACACGUGUGCCUGCAUACAGCUGCAAAGGAGGUGUUAGGAGCGUCCGUCUCCAGUGUAUCCCACAGGACACCUCCCACAGUGGAACCCCUCCUCAGUGGGCUGGCAUUGGACCCCAGGAAAACAGGGCCGGUCUGCACAGGUGGUCACUUGUUUGCUCGCCGUCGUCCUCACCCCCAGCUGCGAGGAGCUGUGACCCAGCCUCCCCGCUGUUCUGAAGGGGAGUCCCGGGAUUAUCUGCGGCGUCUCAAAGCUCGCCUCAGCCUCGUCUCCGUCAGCAGAGAACUCCAGCUCGGACAGGGAGUAGGACAGAGAGCAUGCCUUUGGGGCACGGGCCGCAGCUAUAGGAACCAAAGCUGUUGAAGCACGGGACUUCAGAGAAACACGGCGUCUCUUCA